rnacentral:misc_RNA from 1 species
GGUCCCUUACCUUGCAAUUUUGU